UACGGAGGAUGCGAGCGUUAUCCGGAUUUAUUGGGUUUAAAGGGUGCGCAGGCGGAGGCACAAGUCAGCGGUAAAAUCGCGGGGCUCAACCCCGCUCCGCCGUUGAAACUGUGUCCCUUGAGUGCGCGAAGGGUAGGCGGAAUGCGUGGUGUAGCGGUGAAAUGCAUAGAUAUCACGCAGAACUCCGAUCGCGAAGGCAGUCUACCGGCGCGCAACUGACGCUCAUGCACGAAAGCGUGGGUAUCGAACAGG
rnacentral:rRNA from 1 species